rnacentral:rRNA from 1 species
UACGUAGGGUGCAAGCGUUAAUCGGAAUUACUGGGCGUAAAGCGUGCGCAGGCGGUUUUGUAAGACGGAUGUGAAAUCCCCGGGCUCAACCUGGGAACUGCAUUCGUGACUGCAAGGCUAGAGUAUGUCAGAGGGAGGUGGAAUUCCGCGUGUAGCAGUGAAAUGCGUAGAGAUGCGGAGGAACACCGAUGGCGAAGGCAGCCUCCUGGGAUAAUACUGACGCUCAUGCACGAAAGCGUGGGGAGCAAACAGG